CCCUUAGAUGUUCUGGGCCGCACGCGUGCUACACUGAGUGGAUCAGCGGGUCAGGUUGCGCGAAAGUGUUUCCUAAUCUUGAAAUCCUCUCGUGAUGGGGAUUGACGGUUGCAAUUUUCCGUCAUGAACGAGGAAUACCUUGUAAGCGCGGGUCAUCAUCCCGCGCUGAAUACGUCCCUGCCCUUUGUACACACCGCCCGUCGCUCCUACCGAUUGAGUGGUCCGGUGAGGCUUUGGGAUCUGAGCAAAGAGAGCGUUUCGCUCGUUUUGCCCGGAAAACUCAGUCGAACCUUAUCAUUUAGAGGAAGGAGAAGUCGUAACA
rnacentral:rRNA from 1 species